GCCCCUUCAGCAGCACAUAUACUAAAAUUGGAACGAUACAGAGAAGAUUAGCAUGGCCCCUACCAAGGACGACAUGAAAAUUCAUGAAGUUAAGUGUAUCUAGUUUAU